GGAAGAUGGGGUCAGGAGGGUGAGGAUGAGGUGAUGCAGAUGGGAGGGGUCAAGGAUGAGGGGAGAAGGAAAGGACCCUGAGAGAGAUGUGCCCCACGAGGACAUCCCUGAUUAUGUAACUCUUAAGUGGUGCAGCCUGAGGAUUUGAGCCACAGUGAAGGGAGAGGAUGUUCUUGUCCAGGCCGCCAUGUCAGAUCCCUCAGACGAGAAGGCCUGGUGGAGUGGCAGGCUCCUAGGAUUUCCAGGGUCCAGCACCGCCUUCCCUCCUGAAAGAGCUGUUGCGUGUAGAACGUGAAUAUUCAAAAGGCUUUAACCGAUACUUUAAAGAAAGAUUAAUCUGCGGUGAGAAAAGGAGCCCCGGUACUAAAGAUGAUGGAUAUCUUACGUAGUUGAAUGAGAAUCAGGGCUGGCUUAAGGAUCUAUUCCAGCGCUGCUAAUUAAUUGUGAGUAAGUAAUUGAUUCACUUCCUUUGAAAAAAAAGACUAACGAGACCAUAUGUGGGUUGGUAGUUAUGUAAAACGACAGCAGAAACAUUCUACAAGGCAGAUUCUUGCCCCUUGAUAAGCUGGCUUCUUGAAUUCUUCCUAUUUAUUAGGGACUGCGUUGCUUACCAGUUCCGGUCGGUUUUUUUUUUUUGCCCCCCCCUUCUUUUGAUUUAGGAAAUGAGUAUGAAUGCUUUAUUGAUGUUUUCCCACUUUUUGACACACGAAGGGCCACCUUGAAAAAGAAACUAGUUGGCCUUUCUGUAUGAAGGAAUAGAUGUAUUUUAUAUUUGAGUUCAUUUGCAUUUUGGAGCAGAGAAAUUAUUGGAUGUGAUUGUGGCCGCCAUAGUUCCUCCCUGGGGCUUGCUUAAAAACAGGGGCGUCUGUCCCAGGCCUUUGGAGUGAUCACCUUUCCCUGUCUUUUCUUCUUUCAUCUUUUCUGAGUCAGGAACACAACCGUGGGGAAACGUUUUUAGGGAGUUGGGCGUCAGGGGGGGCUUUGUUCGUUUUUGAGCCCACUUUUAAGCCUAGUUUCACCCAAGUGAAUUUCUAUGCAAAUUCAGUAGAUUUGUGGUACCAAGCCCAAAUCAGACACGAAAUUAUAAUAGAAAGGCAAGCCCAGGGUCUUAAGGGAAAAAAGACAAUUAGCUUUAUGAAGAUACUAAUUUGGGGGAAUGUACUGCUCCUCACACUGAAGCUCUGAAAAGUGUUUUCCUUUUCCCUUCUUGUGAACACCGCUAUCCUGUGAGCUCCCCAAAGCCAGUGGCAAGUUUUUUUUUUUUUUUGUUCCUGAUUGUGGGCGACCCGGGAGUUGGGCAACCAGCUCCUCCCGUCCCCUCCCCUCUCCGGGCGCACCUUGCGAGGGGGGGAGGCAGCGAGGGGGGUUGGCGGUGCGCCUGCGCGCUGCGCUGUGCUCGCAGCCCCCCCCACUCCAGAAUACCUGUCACUGGAACCGCCCGGGCGCGAGCGCGCCACGUU
rnacentral:lncRNA from 1 species